CGGAGGAUCCAAGCGUUAUCCGGAAUCAUUGGGUUUAAAGGGUCCGUAGCGGGUUUAUAAGUCAGUGGUGAGAGCCCAUCGCUCAACGAUGGAACGGCCAUUGAUACUGUAGAUCUUGAAUUAUUAGGAAGUAACUAGAAUAUGUAGUGUAGCGGUGAAAUGCUUAGAGAUUACAUGGAAUACCAAUUGCGAAGGCAGGUUACUACUAAUGGAUUGACGCUGAUGGACGAAAGCGUGGGUAGCGAACAGGAUUAGAUACCCUGGUAGUCCACGCCGUAAACGAUGGAUACUAGCUGUUCGGAGCAAUCUGAGUGGCUAAGCGAAAGUGAUAAGUAUCCCACCUGGGGAGUACGUUCGCAAGAAUG
rnacentral:rRNA from 1 species